rnacentral:lncRNA from 1 species
GGCUCGACAAGAACCACACCAUUAAAAAUUGUUUGGUGAUGAGAUGUAAACAAUAUACUCCGGUUAAUAUAAUGGGUACCCAGGUUAGGGCAGGAUGGUGCCUUCAAAUUAGUUGAGCCCCGCCACAUUCGGUAUGUGCCUGUCCCAAGUCAGGAGCAUGUAAUUCAGUGUAAUGGUUGUCGUUUGUUGCUGUAUCAUAUUUGUUUUUCUUUCAUUAUUUUGUACAUAAAUCAGGCCGUUAGUUUUCUCGUUUGAAUUGUUUGUGUGGAUAUGAAUUAUUAAAAGAGUCAAAGCAGGGACUUUCUAUACUAACUAGUAUAGACUGUCCCUGGUCAGAGUCAAUCUCUCUCACCAACAAAAAAGCAAGCCUAAUGUCAAUUACUUUAUCAAUGGACGUCUCCUUGUACGCGUGAAGGAUACAUCUAUAGCCCCGAAAAUCGUUCGGUUGUCAUCGUAUAACGCAGAUACGUUUUAACCCUGACACUGAAACUGCGUUGAUUUAGCGGUGGAAUUGGUCACAGGCAUUGUCAAUUCUGCGUUGCAUUGUAAAUAGCAGAACACCCUGCAGACACAAUAUUCGUCUGCUAUAAAAAGAGGGGAAAUAAAGCGCUAGUAAUGGGAACGAACGCCGAGAGUCUGAGAAGUGAUAUCAACUCGUUGACUUCUACAACUUUUUGUUUAUUUAACCACACAGUGCCCAUUUAUUUUCCCCUUCACUUUCUCUCACUCGGAGUCUCCUCCCUCUCUCUCAUACCUCUAGCUCGUUUUUUUUUUAUUUUUUUUUAUUAUGAUUUUUGUUUUUUGACAAAACGAUGUUGAAGCCUUGGCUUCCGAGCUUCCGCCUAGCUACGCCACUG